AUUGAACGCUGGCGGCAGGCUUAACACAUGCAAGUCGAGCGGAGCGAGGGUGCUUGCACCUUAGCUUAGCGGCGGACGGGUGAGUAAUGCUUAGGAAUCUGCCUAUUAGUGGGGGACAACAUUCCGAAAGGGAUGCUAAUACCGCAUACGCCCUACGGGGGAAAGCAGGGGAUCUUCGGACCUUGCGCUAAUAGAUGAGCCUAAGUCGGAUUAGCUAGUUGGUGGGGUAAAGGCCUACCAAGGCGACGAUCUGUAGCGGGUCUGAGAGGAUGAUCCGCCAAACUGGGACUGAGACACGGCCCAGACUCCUACGGGAGGCAGCAGUGGGGAAUAUUGGACAAUGGGCGGAAGCCUGAUCCAGCCAUGCCGCGUGUGUGAAGAAGGCCUUUUGGUUGUAAAGCACUUUAAGCGAGGAGGAGGCUACUAGUAUUAAUACUACUGGAUAGUGGACGUUACUCGCAGAAUAAGCACCGGCUAACUCUGUGCCAGCCGCCGCUGUAAAAC
rnacentral:rRNA from 1 species